rnacentral:rRNA from 1 species
AUUGCCUAGUAACGGCGAGUGAAGCGGCAACAGCUCAAAUUUGAAAUCUGGCCUUCGGGUCCGAGUUGUAAUUUGUAGAGGAUGCUUUUGGUGCGGUGCCUUCCGAGUUCCCUGGAACGGGACGCCAUAGAGGGUGAGAGCCCCGUCUGGUUGGAUACCAAUCCUCUGUAAAGCUCCUUCGACGAGUCGAGUAGUUUGGGAAUGCUGCUCUAAAUGGGAGGUAUAUGUCUUCUAAAGCUAAAUACCGGCCAGAGACCGAUAGCGCACAAGUAGAGUGAUCGAAAGAUGAAAAGCACUUUGAAAAGAGGGUUAAACAGUACGUGAAAUUGUUGAAAGGGAAGCGCUUGUGACCAGACUUGGGCAUGGUUAAUCAUCCAGCGUUCUCGCUGGUGCACUUGGCCUGCCCAGGCCAGCAUCAGUUCGGUGCGGGGGAUAAAGGCUUCGGGAAUGUGGCUCCUCCGGGAGUGUUAUAGCCCGUUGUGCAAUACCCUGCGCUGGACUGAGGUUCGCGCAUCUGCAUGGAUGCUGGCGUAAUGGUCAUCAGCGACCCGUCUUGAAACACGGACCAAGGAGUCGUCCUCGUAUGCGAGUGUUCGGGUGUUAAACCCCUACGCGUAAUGAAAGUGAACGCAGGUGAGAGCUUCGGCGCAUCAUCGACCGAUCCUGAUGUUCUCGGAUGGAUUUGAGUAAGAGCAUACGGGGCCGGACCCGAAAGAAGGUGAACUAUGCCUGUAUAGGGUGAAGCCAGAGGAAACUCUGGUGGAGGCUCGCAGCGGUUCUGACGUGCAAAUCGAUCGUCAAAAUAUGGGCAUGGGGGCGAAAGACUAAUCGA